GAAUAUUAUCACAGGGGACUCCGGGAUCGGCUGAUAUAUUCGCCAUUGUGAGGAAAAUGCUCAUUGUUCACGUUUCGGCACCGUUCACAUCUCACUAUGCUGCUCGUGUGGGAAUAUUGGGAAGAAAGGGGCUAGAGAAUUAAAAAUAACCAAUUUGGAUGCAGCUUCGUAUAUAUUAUAUUCAACGUGGCAGGUCGCGUAACUUGUCUCCUCUGCACAUUGUCGUCCGCGUUGCAACAGCAGCAAGCAGCUACUAUACCGAAAAACUUCGCCACGACGCUUCCGAUGCUAAUCCGUUUCACCUUCAAAGUUUGUAUCUGAAAAAAGAAACGGUGACGGUGAAAGGGAUUAGGUUCGGAAGGAUAAGCUUUGGAAGAUUAUUACUGGCGUUUGACAAGGGUAUGUACUUAUAUGUGAUUGUGUGUGGGUGUGUGCUGCGGCAAAAGGAGAGACGUUGCUGCGUAAACUAUGUAACAGCUUUAUAGAAGUGCGUAAGCUACAGUAGUUCGUAUUGCUGAAAAUUAUAUAUAAUAAGUCAAUAUAUAUUAUUUAUUUGUUUAAUACAAAAAUGCCAUUUAUUUUAUACUACACGUCAAUAUACAUUACUAUUAAUAUUAUAUAUUAUUAUUACAAUUAUGGUAGACGUCUUUUGUAACGUUUCAAUGUAACAGGUCGCGUAACUUGUCUCCUCUGCACAUUGUCGUCUGUGUUGCAACAGCAGCAAGCAGCUACUAUACCGAAAGACUUCGCCACGACGCUUCCGAUGCUAAUCCGUUUCACCUUCAAAGUUUGUAUCUGAAAAAAGAAACUUUGACGGUGAAAGGGAUUAGGUUCGGAAGGAUAGGCUUUGGAAGAUGAGUACUGGCGUUGGACAAAGCAGCAAGCAGCUACUAUACUAAAAAACUUCGCCACAACGCUUCCGAUGCUAUUCUAGUUCAGCCACGACGUUUGUAUCGGAAAAAAGAAAAGGUGUCGCUGAAAUGGAUUAGGUUCGGAAGGAUAGGCUUCGGAAGAUGAGUACUGGCGUUUGACAAGGGUCGCGUAACUUGUCUCCUCUGCACAUUGUCGUCUGUGUUGCAACAGCAGCAAGCAGCUACUAUACCGAAAAACUUCGCCACGACGCUUCCAAUGCUAAUCCGUUUCACCUUCAAAGUUUGUAUCUGAAAAAAGAAACGGUGACGGUGAAAGGGAUUAGGUUCGGAAGGAUUGGCUUCGAAAGAUUAUUACUGGCGUUUGACAAGGCAGCAAGCAGCUACUAUACUAAAAAACUUCGCCACAACGCUUCCGAUGCUAUUCUAGUUCAGCCACGACGUUUGUAUCGGAAAAAAGAAACGGUGUCGCUGAAAUGGAUUAGGUUCGGAAGGAUAGGCUUCGGAAGAUGAGUACUGGCGUUUGACAAGGCGGCAAAAGGAGAGACGUUGCUGCGUAAACUAUGUAAUAGCUUAUGGUCGUCCUCGAUUCAACAGCAGCAAGCAGCUACUAUACCGAAAAACUUCGCCACAACGCUUCCGAUGCUAUUCUAGUUCAGCCACGACGUUUGUAUCGGAAAAAAGAAACGGUGUCGCUGAAAUGGAUUAGGUUCGGAAGGAUAGGCUUCGGAAGAUGAGUACUGGCGUUUGACAAGGGUCGCGUAACUUGUCUCCUCUGCACAUUGUCGUCUGUGUUGCAACAGCAGCAAGCAGCUUCUAUACCGAAAGACCUCGCCACGACGCUUCCGAUGCUAAUCCGUUUCACCUUCAAAGUUUGUAUCUGAAAAAAGAAACUUUGACGGUGAAAGGGAUUAGGUUCGGAAGGAUAGGCUUUGGAAGAUGAGUACUGGCGUUUGACAAGGGUAUGUACUUAUAUGUGUUUGUGUGUGGGUGUGUGCUGCGGCAAAAGGAGAGACGUUGCUGCGUAAACUAUGUAACAGCUUUAUAGAAGUCGCGUAACUUGUCUCCUCUGCACAUUGUCGUCUGUGUUGCAACAGCAGCAAGCAGCUACUAUACCGAAAAACUUCGCCACGACGCUUCCGAUGCUAAUCCGUUUCACCCUCAAAGUUUGUAUCUGAAAAAAGAAACUUUGACGGUGAAAGGGAUUAGGUUCGGAAGGAUAGGCUUUGGAAGAUGAGUACUGGCGUUUGACAAGGCUUAUGGUCGUCCUCGAUACAACAACAGCAAGCAGCUACUAUACCGAAAGACUUCGCCACGACGCUUCCGAUGCUAAUCCGUUUCACCCUCAAAGUUUGUAUCUGAAAAAAGAAACUUUGACGGUGAAAGGGAUUAGGUUCGGAAGGAUAGGCUUUGGAAGAUGAGUACUGGCGUUUGACAAGGGUAUGUACUUAUAUGUGUUUGUGUGUGGGUAUGUGCAGCGGCAAAAGGAGAGACGUUGAUGCGUAAACUAUGUAAUAGCUUAUGGUCGUCCUCGAUUCAACAGCAGCAAACAGCUACUAUACCGAAAAACUUCGCCACAACGCUUCCGAUGCUAUUCUAGUUCAACCACGACGUUUGUAUCGGAAAAAAGAAACGGUGUCGCUGAAAUGGAUUAGGUUCGGAAGGAUAGGCUUCGGAAGAUGAGUACUGGCGUUUGACAAGGGUAUGUACUUAUAUGUGUUUGUGUGUGGGUGUGUGCUGCGGCAAAAGGAGAGACGUUGCUGCGUAAACUAUGUAACAGCUUUAUAGAAGUGCGCAAGAUAUAGUGGUUCGUGUUGCUGAAAAUUAUAUAUAAUAAGUCAAUAUAUAUUAUUUAUUUGUUUAAUACAAAAAUGCCAUUUAUUUUAUACUACACGUCAAUAUACAUUACUAUUAAUAUUAUAUAUUAUUAUUACAAUUAUGGUAUACGUCUUUUGUAAUUUUUCAAUGUAACAGGUCGCGUAACUUGUCUCCUCUGCACAUUGUCUUCCACUGUUGCAACAGCAGCAAGCAGCUACUAUAACGAAAAACUUCGCCACGACGCUUCCGAUGCUAAUCC